GUUCAGCUGCAGAUCGCCACUUGGGAACACAUUCUACAGUGGAAUUAUAAAAUAAAACGUAAACUAGCGCGAGAUAAAAGGGGGAAACACAGCGUUUCUUUCGGAAGGAUCAAACAAAAACGCGGAUAAAACCAAGGUAAACGCCAAAGGAAAAUGAACCUACCCACUCAAAAAACAGGUUGGAAUUGGUGAAAGUCAGGCUCCUUCUCAUGUCUGAUACAUCAGGCAGUCUGAGUUUCAACAAUGGACUCCAACACCGCUUCUACCUAUGUUACCAAUCCCAGGGGGGAAUAUAGCAGGCCACCAAAUCCAAUUCAAGGAUUUUUUUUUUUUUUUUAAGAAAUGCCGUGAUGUUUACACGAACAGGACACUGCUAUUGCGGAUCCCAGAGAGCAGUCUUGUGGGCACCAGGAGGAACUCUUUUUGGAGUCUGUUUGGAGUCUUGUCUCUGAAGAUGGAGAGCACAGCCAUGAUCUCUGCUCUGCAGUGUGCAGUGGCACGCACUCACCCGGUACUGCAUUCUUAAACACCAGGGCCCUCAUUUAUUAAAUCAUCCUAAAUGCUCUCUGUAGAUGUUGGAAACCAACCAUCACCAAGAAGGAAGCUAUGAAACCGAUUCUGAAAAACAUGAAACUCUACCUCAUUAGUCAGUUGCAAGCAUGUGUUGGCACUGUUGUAGAGCUUGUGUGCCUUGGAAACCAACUGGAGAAGGACAACAAACAGUAACUGGAAUUGGAUCAAAACGCUGCCAGAAAAAUAGCACCCCUAUCCAGCCAAAGUCAAAUAUUACACCUUCACCACCUGCUGUUCUGUGCUGGAGAUGCAAAGAGAACCUUAACUCUGGCUCAUACCCUCUAUAAUCAAAAGCAUCACUCAAACAAACCGGCUCGCCAAAAUCCUGGCGAACCACUACAUGGCUAUCCGUCAGGAAGUGGUGUGAUGGGAAGGCAUAACUCAUCCCAGUCAACCAUCUCCGCAGAGGGAAGUAAGAAACAAGCUGUUAACUGACCGACUAAUGAUACCUGCCUUAUUUCCAUACUAACACUGCUACUUGUUCCUGUGACCAGCCAACAUUUCAUGGAUAGAACUAUUGUGGGAACAGGUGGAACUGCAGUGAGCUGAAAUGUUGAAGCAAUAGCAGAACGCCUGCUGUACCACUCCUUUUGGAUAGUUCUACAAAAAUAUCUAUAACUGUCAGAUGGUAACUACACCAACUGCUGUUCUCCCUGUUGAUUCUUUCUUUGGCAAUUGUGCAUAGUCUAGACGUCCUGUUUUUCUGUGGACUACAUAUAAAUGUAAUCGAACCAGAAUACUGUUUGAGGAGUAAACCGUUUCUAGCCAAAGAAUGCAUAUGAACGUAAAAACCACCAUGUUGUAUCAAUUUUCAACAAUAUUGCUCUGCCUAGUCCUCACACUUCCUGUUCCUUUGCACUAGACCUUAGUUAUUACAUCCACACAGCUGUCUCUGAAGCCCACCUAUCUCAACAAGAGAAGGACUGCCUAUCAUGGCAAAUAAACGGUCAAGACAGCCCGUAGACCUUCUUGUACAACCAUACUGCAACAUCAGAUGCACACUAUUAACUAUUAACCAACCUCCAAAGACAGUUCUGCCCCAAGCAAGACAUUGUGAACAAUCCAACUGAAAGAAAUUCUGUUGGCUGGAAUUAUAGAACCAUCACUCUCUGGAUGGGCAUUUUCUGUUGCUAUUCUGCCAAAUAUGGAAAACUGCUUUUUGUGUGGACUUGUGGAAACUUAAUGCUAUCACUGGAAAUUAUGGAUACCCACUUCCCAACGCUGCAGACAGCUGGAUUCUGGAUUCACUUGCGAAUGCUGCCGUCUUCUCCACCCCUGACCUGGACAGUAGAUACUAGCCAUUGAACAUGGAACCAGAAAGCAAGAGAGAGAUUAUCUUCAUGACCUCACAAGGGACAUACAGUAGUUUUAGAAGACAGAGCGCCAGAUUUACUAAGUCUUUUGCAAUGAUUUUCAGGCGCACAUACGACGCAUUCUGCCCAGGAAACAUACGUCGUAUGUAUCACUGUUCGCACGGGGCUAGGACCACUGUAUGCAUGCCAUCUAAGUGAGUCAUCGCAAGAGGAGCAUAAUGAGCUGUAGCCUUUGUAAAUAAGACGUUCAUUUCAGGCAUACUGCAACCGUGCCAACACACUCGUCCGGCUGCGUUUUGCGCUGCGAGCUUCAUGUAUGUAAAUCUGGCCCAAAGUGUAUUGAAGCUACUGUACGCAUUUCGGAAAAGCUGCUCCUCCAGUGUGCAUAUCAUGACACCCUAGUGAAUGGUCACUUUAGGGUCUGUUUGCCUAAGUUCCAUGUUGCUCUUAAUUCAGCUGUACUAGAACAGACUCAAGGAAGCACCUCAUACCACAUCCUAGUCAACGAGAAUCUCCAUAAAACCUGUGAACAUGAAAAAUGAAACUGUUAAGCCCUAUUAUGAUAUUAUGAUGUCCAAUCCCAUCUGCAAACAAGACUGUUUGUUGACUGUUUUAAACUAAAUGCACUUCAAAUUCCAAAAUGGAACGAUGUGAUCUCCAAAAUGUGAUCUCGCGACUAUGACCCUUGAAUUAUUGUGUGGUCAUGGACUCUGGGACUGUAAGCCCAGUACAUGUGUGCUUGCUACCCUACUGCAGAUGGAAGUGGAUCAGGUUGACAGACGAGAGGGUCUUUGACAUCAAUGAAGAGAACUAUGAUUAUGAUGAUGACGAUGAUGACCAACUUGGGU